UUUUUUUUUUUUAAUCUUGGAUGUUGUUUUAAAUAUAGUAAUAAAAGAAAAUAUGACCGGCUGUUGAAGCCCAUAUGCUCCUCCUUUUCAGGACUACAAACUGCUCAUUCAGAGUUGGUUUGUACACAGCAAGGAGCAGCCGGAGGGGAGCCAGAGAAAUCAAUGAAAACGCAACUGUUUGGCAAAGUAGUAAAUAGAAAAUUGGGGCUGUGUUUCUCUGGUUUCUUCUAAUUGGAAGCCCCGGAUGCAAAUCAGGUUGAUCCUUGAAUUUUUAUUGCCGUUUCACUCAAGACUCACAUAGAAUGCCUGGUUAAUGAUCUUAGCUUCAUCUUAGUGAAUGCUCAAAAGCUUUAAGCCCAGGUAACCACUCUGCUGCUUGAAAUGCUCCCCGUGAAGCACUUUCCUUCUCUCUUCUCACUGGCUGUUCCUCCUGUUCCUUUGCUGGUUCACGCUCCUUUAAAUGUUAACUUCCACCCCACUUGGUCCUUUGCCACUUUUUCUUUCUUCCUAAGUGGGAUCACACCUGUUCCAACAGCUUCAAAUACUCCCUUGUACAAGAGCAAGUCCCAAAUAUCUUUUUUUUUUUUGUCUUUUCUAGGACCGUACCCACGGCAUAUGGAGCUUCCCAGGCUAGGGAACUUGCAACCUCAUGGUUCCUAGUCAGAUUCCUUAACCACUGAGCCACAAUGGGAACUCCCCAAAUAUCUUUCUUGAAAUUAAAUCCUUCCUCUGGGCUAGACACUCGUAUUGCCCCCAAAGCUCAACACUUUCACUGUGGGCACUUCAAAAGCAUCCCAACUCAAGAUGUUUGAAAGUUACGUCCUUUCCCCACCACCAGUCUCAAUCGUCACACUAUAACAAGGUCCCUACCUACCCGGUUCUCAAACCCAUCACUGAUUCCUUUUUUCCUCAACUCUCAUAUGCAAGUCUUAUCAUUUCCACACUCCAAACACAAAUCAGGCCACCUCUUCCAGCGAUCCUGAGACCAGUGGCUCUCAAACUCUUCUGUGCAUCAGAUCAUCUGAAGGGCUUCUGAAAACCCAGAUUGCUAGGUGCCCCCUCGCUCGAGUUUCUGACUUAGUAGGCAUGUGAUAAGGCUGAGAAUCGGCAUCACUAAUAAGUUCCCAGGAGAUUCUGCUGCUGCUGAUCCUGAGAACACCUUCAAGCCCUACAGCAAGUCAUUAUCUCUCAUUGCCCUACACAGGAAAAGCCAAAUUACUGGUAUUCCCUUCGUCUUGCCUCCCUCUAAUUUAUUCUCUACUUCAGAAGCCUCAGUAAUCAUUUUUUAAAUUUUUUAUUAUAGUGGAUUUACAAAUCAGAAAUCAUUUUAAAUGUAUCAGACUGGGUUACUUAAAAAUAAAAUCCAAACUCCUUAGUCACCACAAUGUAUGUGGUCCAACAUGGGUCUGAUCCAUUGUUCUCUAGUCCGUUUAGUUCUCCCCAAAACCACGGUCUUCCUCAGGGCCUUUGCACAUCCUGCUGAAGCCACCUAGAAGCCCCUUCCCCUCACUCAUCACAUGACUGUUCUAUUUCUUCAGGCAUUAUUUUAUGUCUUUUUUUUUUUUUUUGUCUUUUUAGGGCCACUCCCACGGCAUACAGAGGUUCCCAGACCAGGGGUCCAAUCAGAGCUAUAGCUGCCGGCCUACACCAGAGCUACAGCAACUCGGGAUCUGAGCCGCGUCUGUGACCUACACCACAGCUCAAGGCUAUGCUGGAUCCUUAACCCACUGAGCAAGGCCAGGUAUCGAACCUACAACCUCAUGGUUCCUAGUUGGAUUCAUUAACCACUGAGCCAUGACGGGAACGCCAUCUUCAGGCAAUAUUUUAAAUGUCACCACCAGAAAAAAUGUCUCCUCUAACUACCCUACAGAACUCCUACCCCACACCAAAUCCCUAUCAUCAUGCCCUUUUGAUGGCUUUUAGCUUUGCCACAGGAUGUGUGCUUAUAUUUACUUGUUUGUCUACCUCACUGCCUAGAUGGCUAGUCAAGCCAUAUCUGUCAUAUUUGCUGCAAGCCCUGCACAGUGCCUGCUAUGUAUAUAGUACAUGCUGCAUAAAUUUCUAUCGUAGAAAUAGAUGGACAAAUGAAUGAAUCAAUAACAAACCUUGCAACAGAAGGCAAUGACUUCAAAUCUUUAGCUAACAUAAUCAAACUACCUUCCAGAUUAUCUGAAUCAGUCUCUUUAAGACAGGUUAACUGUCUUCCAAACAAGUCAUGAUAAUACCAUAUGAGAGCUGUGAAAAAAAAAAAAAAAUACAACUGAACACAAAUCAUUUGCACAAAAACAGACCCAGAGCAGAACCCUGAAAUCCGGAAGUAGAUUGUCUUUUCCAGGAUUCUGUUUUUUUCGUUUUCCAAGAUAACUGAAUAUCAGCCUUCACACCAGCUGACAGUUGAACAAAUACUUUCAGAUUAAACAGCUCAUGGUAUAUGACAAGAUGUCAACACCCUUCCACAGAAUAUAUAUUUCUGCCUCACACAAUGGCAAGUAUUCAAGUUUCAACUAAUUCUCCACCACAUGGAUGAUGGAAACCUCAUCUUAGGGCACAGCUGGGGGAAUUGGUAUCCAUAGAUACUCAGUAAUAAAUCAAGCAAAUGAACACAAAGCUCAAAGGAACCUGUACCCCCAACUCCCCAAAUAGUGUCUGCUCUUCUCUGUUCCCUGAUAGAAGGCCUACUCCAUGCUUGUCUGUGAAGCAAGUAUUUGUUAAGCAAGGAAUAAGUAAAUUAAUUCAUCAUCGGCAUUCACAGCAAUAUUCUAGAAUCACACAGCCACUGGCAUAUUCCUCCAAAAAGAAGGUCUCCUAUCACUUCUCUGCUUAUAAGCCUCCCAUAGCUCCCAGUGGCCUUCAAGAAAAGCUCUAUGUUCCUUAUCCUGGGUAUCAAGUUUCAGUUUUGCAAGAUGAGAAAGUUCCUGCUAAAAGGUGGGAUCCCACCUUGACACUUAGACAAGCCCUAGGAAAACUGAGCAUUGAUAAGGAGGGGUAGAGAGAGAGAAAGCAGGGCUUGGGUGAUGGCAAUAUGUCACCAGAGCUUAACAGAGAGUCUGCUCGUCAGAGAGCUUCAGUCUGAGGCCAUCGCCCAGGUAAAUCCUACCCAAAUCCACUUGGAUCAAAGAACGUAGCCCUACAGUAUUUUUUCAAAUCAUUACAACACAGAGACUGUGUUGAUAAAGGAAAGGUUACAAGAUUAUGGAAAACAAAAGAUUCUGAUGGCCAAGCAACUUCAAGGGAGCGCCUAGGUGGGCUGAAGAACUUAAAGCUGAAUGCGACUUCACUGGACUUCUGGUAUUUUCCUGUGGUGCUCUUAGGGAGAAUACGACAACUUCCUCUCUUUUCUCUGCGGCUAACUUACAUGGAAAGGUUCCCAGCGCUGGAAGGGAAGGGGACAGUCAUCCCUCAAGUGUUCACUAGGGCACCUGGGCCAUCCGGGGAGCUGAGAUACAAUGGCUCCUACCCUCGGGGUGUCCACGGUUGAGGGGCUCAACCCGAAUCACCAGGGAACUCCUUCCCAUGUGAGAUUAGGCAGCAGUGCAGCUAAUCGAGGCCAACACCUUUGUGUUGAAAAACAGUGGACCUGGCAUUCCUGCUGUGGCAUAAUGGGUUAAGGAUCCAGUGUUGCCACAGCUGUAGUGUAGGUCGCAGCUGUGGCUCAGAUUUGAUCCCUGGGCUGAGAAUAACACUAUGCCACGGGUUCAGCCAAAAAAGGAGAGAAAAAAACAAAAAACAAAAUAAUGGACCUUGAACAUGGUGGGUGUUAGGGGCAGUUGAGUAUCUGCACAUAACUUACAGCCAACAUUCUACAUGCAGAUCUAAUUCCUCCCAUCCUCGGAUCCAACAGUCUGGAUGUGUGGUCCUGCAGUAUUUACUUUGGAAAAAAUCCCCAUGGGCAUGGCUCUGCACAGCUCAACCCUGUGUUGUUCAAGGGUCAACCGUAGUUACUUUCCUAGAGAAGCAAUGUCUAUCAAUACAGCAGUGAUCUGGAAUUUCUACUGUGGCUCAGCAGGUUAAGAACCCAACUAGUAUCCACGAGGAUGUGGGUCCGAUCCCUGGCCUCCCUCAGUGGGUUAAGGAUCUGGUGUUGCCGGGAACUGUGUGGUAUAGGUCACAGGUAUGGCUGGGAUCCUAUGUUGCUAUGGCUGUGGCUAUGGCCAGCAGCUGCAGUUCCAAUUCAACCCCUAACCCUGAACUUCCAGCUGCCGUAGGUACAGCCCUAAAAAAAAAAAAAAAAAAAAAAAAAAGGCAAAAAACAAACACCCAGCAGUGAUCUGAGGUCACAACUGCCAGUAAAGACAGACGACAGCAUGGGAAGCCUGGAGGCUCCUGUAGCCUCUAGGAGCCCACAGGCCAUGAUGCACAUUUUCUCAUGGGUUGUAUCUAAUAACCUCAUUGACCAAACUUGAAAAAUAUCUUGCACCUACUUCCUGCCUUCUUCCUCGUAAGUGCGCUAGCUGCUCUCCGAUACAUUCUGACACUUACUGAAAUUAGACUUCAACACACACUGAUAUACAAUUCCCACAGCAGGAGAGAAAUGCUAAAAAUUAUGCGUAGCAUUCACUGACAUAUACACACACACACGUCACUAGUGUGUGUGUGUGUGUGUGUGUGUGUGUGUGUUUAAUCCAGGGCACUUUAACAAUCACAAUAUUUAUUCCUUUGUAUGAAAGCACUGGAUUUCUUUAAAAUUAACUGAAAGAACUGAAAAGCUCCAAACAGGAUCAAAUCCUUAAAUUUCUUCUCCAAAGUAGCAGGUAAUAUAUCACAUACAGGCGGGUGUUCUGUCGAUUCCAUUCUCUUCAUUUUUGGAAGGCUUUUUAUGUUCUUCUUUGGGAAAUCAUUUCUGCCUUUCCUAUUUACAUAAAGGGCCCAGGCUGAAACAUUCCCAAGGUUUACAAUAAAAGCAUGCAUUUCCCAUUAGUUUAUUCAUUCAUCCAAAUGCCACAGUCCCCUGAACCCGCCCAUUUCACAGAGGCUGAAUCAGGCCCUCCCAAGGCUUCUCAAACACUCUGUGUGGCUCCAGCAGAGCUCUGACUGCACCUUAGACCACCUGUCCCCUAUCCCCCAGUGAGCUGGGAAACAAAUCAAGUAUAAAGACCUUUUUCCCUUUUUUUGCCACAGAACCUCCUCAGUUCCUGCAACUCCAUAGGUGGGUGCUCGAGAAAGGUAGAAAAACCCUAACUGACUCUAUUUCCAUCACCAGCGACUGUACUACUUGCAACCAGGUGCUGUCAGUCCUCCCCUGGAGGAGUAAUUCCACUUCUGGACAUUUAGAGAAAAGACAGGCAGAGGUCAGGCAACCAGUGCGUGCGCAAUUUAGAAUGUACGUGCUGGGGUCGGGGAGGCAGACACGUGCGGAGCACAGAAAGGUCCAGAAGUUCUUUCCAGUGCCUCGAGCUCCUGAGAGUACUAGAAAGAGCCAGAACACCCCCUUGCCACCUGCACUCUAGAGCAUAGGCAUUCAGCCACACCUCCACCUUCUGCCCAGAAUGUCACCUGCCAGUGGUAGGGGGCGGGGGGGAUGUUACCUCAAACAUCGGACCAGCCUGCAGGGAGAGAGAAACUACUGAUGCCACAGCUUUCUUUCCUUUUCAUUCACGGACAAGGCCUAUUCAAAGCAUGCUAUUUGUUGGGAAGGGGCGGGCGUUAAAAUGCUUAUGAGAUGUAAAAAGCUUAGAUACACUUCCUGGCAACUGGUAAGCACUGUCUCUCCUAGCUAUUAAUAUCGUUUUCUAUUUGGCGGGAACAAAGGUAAAAGGUAAACCAUGCCAUUUAGCUCAGAGUUAUCCUCCUGAUCCUCUGACCAGACCACUGUGUCAUUAUCCACAUGUGCAAAUGAACAGAGCUGGGAAAUCAAAAUCCUAAAACAAGCGGGCACUCUCCCCUGUAAGUUUAGAGCAACAGCUUUGCUUAUGUGGAGGCGGCAAAUUAAAGAGGCACUGCUUCUUCUGAACUCCCUAGAAACCAUCCAGGGGUGCCCACCCCUCCUUUAAAACCUGCCUCUAGGAGUUCCCGUCAUGGCGCAGUGGUUAACGAAUCUGACUAGGAACCAUGAGGUUGCAGGUUCGAUCCCGGCCCUUGCUCAGUGGGUUAACAGUCCGGCGUUGCCAUGAGCUGUGGUGUAGCCUGGGAAGCUCCAUAUGCCGCAGGAGUGGCUCUAGAAAAGGCAAAAACAAAAAAACAAAAAAAACCCUGCCUCUAACCUGGAGAGGGGGUGGCAGGAGAGAAAGAGGAAGAAGAAUGUU
rnacentral:lncRNA from 1 species